rnacentral:sRNA from 1 species
GCUGAAGAAGUAGCAGCCCUGCUCCUUUUCCCCUGUCUUGUUGGGUCAGAUCCUUCCCGGGGAUGAUGCAGAUUGGCUGACAGACUCCGCUGGAGACUUCGCAGUGACAAAGCAGCCGAGGAUUAACCCUGCUCCUGGGUCCUACGUCUGUCCAGGGAGCUGAGCGGGGCGCUCCUCAGGAAGUGUUUGGAUUGUGAGCUAUUUCAGAACUGUUCUCAGGACUCAUUAUUUGAACAUUUGGGAGAAACACAGCCAGAAGCUGAAAAAACUGAGCCUCGGAACAGUUAAGUAAAUCGACCAAAGUGACCCACUACUGAAUAGCAGAGUCAGGAAUCCAGAGACUGUUCUUUUCACCACAGUGCUUUGUGGCCUUCCUAAUAAAAGCAAGAGACUGACACUGGCAGAGACAAGAUUUUAGAGUGGGAAAAGUAAUCCAGAAUCCUCAGAGUGCUGCAUACAUUUUGCUUUACGAAAAGUUUUCAAAUCCACAUUUGUUAC